GGGAAAAGUCAUAUCAUUUGAAGUAAAGAAAGCUGAUAGUAGGAGUGGUUUAUAUGUUAGAUCUGUCAGGUUAGUUUUAGUGUUUACAUUUUCAAAGAUAGGAGCUAGUAAAAAGGGCACUGCUUUUACUCAAGAAGGUGAGAGUGGAAAGAAGGGGAAUACCAUUCAAGCUAGAGUAAUCCACAGGAACAUGGCUUGGGAAAAGUCAUAUCAUUUUAAGUAAAGAAAGCUGAUAGUAGGAGUGGUUUAUAUGUUAGAUCUGUCAGGUUAGUUUUAGUGUUUACAUUUUCAAAGAUAGGAGCUAGUAAAAAGGGCACUGCUUUUACUCAAGGACUUCAAGAACUUGUACAUGUUGCAGUUAUCUUCACCUUAAAGUUUUUUUUUUUUUUGAAAGAUGUCUUCACUUUAGAUACGAAUUGCAGCAAUAAGGUUACUGCAGCUAUUGUCCUUGGAUUGGGCAAAAAAGGCUGAGAGACGAGUAUUCUCGUCCUUGAACCUAGAGGAGAACAUUUGAUGUCAAUAUUCAAUGUUAUAAGCAAUAGUCCUCUCUCCUCCCUGUGGUUUCUUCUUAGAUGGUUGGAUUUAGUUGUGACAUUACUCAUAUGUACAAGUGGCAGAAAGCACCAAUAUUUGAGCCAUUGCUGGAGUGAUGAUCACAUUCUUCUCAAUAAUGAGUCAUAGCAUGAGCAAAUCUAAUGGUUGAAUGAAGAAAAGUCUCAGUUCCUUAACCACUUUCCCAGUUUUCUGCACAUUUCUUUCAUUAUGUUUGUAAUUGUGUCAUGAAAUCGCAACAUUAUUCUCUAUUCAUCACAAUACCGAAUUUCUUCCUUCUUUUCUAGAUUAAAGAAAGAAAAAUCGACAAAUUUGGGUGGUUCACCUCACCACAAAACUGAAUUCGAAAACAGUAAUUAAG
rnacentral:lncRNA from 1 species